rnacentral:snRNA from 1 species
GGAUGUGACGGUGAUCUCGCUGCAACAUCUGUCACCCCAUUGAUUGCCAGAGUUGAUUUGACUGGUCCAGCUGGAUAGGCAGGUGUCUCCUUUCUCCCUCACUGCUCCACGUGCAUCUCCCUUGAAGCUGCGCACUGGUCGAAGAGGAUGACCAUCCCCCAUAGAGAAGUACCCGUCUUCGGUCAAGGGUAUAUGAGAAGCUGCAUUCCCCUACUAGAACCUCCAAACAAGCUCUCAAGGUUCACUUGCAGGAGAAUGUAGAGCAAUCAAGCUUCCAAGACUCCUGACACUCCCAAAUGAGGUGCUGCAUGUGGCAGUCUGCCUUUCUUU